rnacentral:rRNA from 1 species
UGAGGAAUAUUGGACAAUGGGUGAGAGCCUGAUCCAGCCAUCCCGCGUGAAGGACGACGGCCCUAUGGGUUGUAAACUUCUUUUGUAUAGGGAUAAACCUACUCUCGUGAGAGUAGCUGAAGGUACUAUACGAAUAAGCACCGGCUAACUCCGUGCCAGCAGCCGCGGUAAUACGGAGGGUGCAAGCGUUAUCCGGAUUUAUUGGGUUUAAAGGGUCCGUAGGCGGAUCUGUAAGUCAGUGGUGAAAUCUCAUAGCUUAACUAUGAAACUGCCAUUGAUACUGCAGGUCUUGAGUAAAGUAGAAGUGGCUGGAAUAAGUAGUGUAGCGGUGAAAUGCAUAGAUAUUACUUAGAACACCAAUUGCGAAGGCAGGUCACUAUGUUUUAACUGACGCUGAUGGACGAAAGCGUGGGGAGCGAACAGG